rnacentral:rRNA from 1 species
UACGGAGGGUGCAAGGCGUUAUCCGGAUUCACUGGGUUAAGGUGCGUAGGUGGGCAGUUAAGUCAGUGGUGAAAUCUCCGGGCUCAACCCGGAAACUGCCAUUGAUACUAUCUGUCUUGAAUAUCGUGGAGGUAAGCGGAAUAUGUCAUGUAGCGGUGAAAUGCUUAGAUAUGACAUAGAACACCAAUUGCGAAGGCAGCUUACUACCCGAAUAUUGACACUGAGGCACGAAAGCGUGGGAUCAAACAGG